UGUCUCAGGACCUCGAAUGAUCCAGAACC
rnacentral:piRNA from 1 species